rnacentral:rRNA from 1 species
GACGUAGGGGGCGAGCGUUGUCCGGAUUUAUUGGGCGUAAAGCGCGCGUAGGCGGUCGUUCAAGUCGGUUGUGAAAACCCGGGGCUCAACCCCGGGCCCGCGUCCGAUACUGGGCGACUGGAGGCAGGUAGGGGAGAUCGGAAUUCCUGGUGUAGCGGUGGAAUGCGCAGAUAUCAGGAGGAACACCGGUGGCGAAGGCGGAUCUCUGGGCCUGUCCUGACGCUCAGGCGCGAAAGCUAGGGGAGCAAACAGG